rnacentral:rRNA from 1 species
GACGAACGCUGGCGGCGUGCUUAACACAUGCAAGUCGAACGGAAAGGCCCUGCUUUUGUGGGGUGCUCGAGUGGCGAACGGGUGAGUAACACGUGAGUAACCUGCCCUUGACUUUGGGAUAACUUCAGGAAACUGGGGCUAAUACCGGAUAGGAGCUCCUGCUGCAUGGUGGGGGUUGGAAAGUUUCGGCGGUUGGGGAUGGACUCGCGGCUUAUCAGCUUGUUGGUGGGGUAGUGGCUUACCAAGGCUUUGACGGGUAGCCGGCCUGAGAGGGUGACCGGCCACAUUGGGACUGAGAUACGGCCCAGAGUCCUACGGGAGGCAGCAGUGGGGAAUAUUGCACAAUGGGCGGAAGCCUGAUGAAGCAACGCCGCGUGCGGGAUGACGGCCUUCGGGUUGUAAACCGCUUUCGCCUGUGACGAAGCGUGAGUGACGGUAAUGGGUAAAGAAGCACCGGCUAACUACGUG